GAUGAACGCUGGCGGCGUGCCUAAUACAUGCAAGUCGAGCGAACGGACGAGAAGCUUGCUUCUCUGAUGUUAGCGGCGGACGGGUGAGUAACACGUGGAUAACCUACCUAUAAGACUGGGAUAACUUCGGGAAACCGGAGCUAAUACCGGAUAAUAUUUUGAACCGCAUGGUUCAAAAGUGAAAGACGGUCUUGCUGUCACUUAUAGAUGGAUCCGCGCUGCAUUAGCUAGUUGGUAAGGUAACGGCUUACCAAGGCAACGAUGCAUAGCCGACCUGAGAGGGUGAUCUGCCACACUGGAACUGAGACACGGUCCAGACUCCUACGGGAGGCAGCAGUAGGGAAUCUUCCGCAAUGGGCGAAAGCCUGACGGAGCAACGCCGCGUGAGUGAUGAAGGUCUUCGGAUCGUAAAACUCUGUUAUUAGGGAAGAACAUAUGUGUAAGUAACUGUGCACAUCUUGACGGUACCUAAUCAGAAAGCCACGGCUAACUACGUGCCAGCAGCCGCGGUAAUACGUAAGUGGCAAGCGUUAUCCGGAAUUAUUGGGCGUAAAGCGCGCGUAGGCGGUUUUUUAGUCUGAUGUGAAAGCCCACGGCUCAACCGUGGAGGGUCAUUGGAAACUGGAAAACUUGAGUGCAGAAGAGGAAAGUGGAAUUCCAUGUGUAGCGGUGAAAUGCGCAGAGAUAUGGAGGAACACCAGUGGCGAAGGCGACUUUCUGGUCUGUAACUGACGCUGAUGUGCGAAAGCGUGGGGAUCAAACAGGAUUAGAUACCCUGGUAGUCCACGCCGUAAACGAUGAGUGCUAAGUGUUAGGGGGUUUCCGCCCCUUAGUGCUGCAGCUAACGCAUUAAGCACUCCGCCUGGGGAGUACGACCGCAAGGUUGAAACUCAAAGGAAUUGACGGGGACCCGCACAAGCGGUGGAGCAUGUGGUUUAAUUCGAAGCAACGCGAAGAACCUUACCAAAUCUUGACAUCCUUUGACAACUCUAGAGAUAGAGCCUUCCCCUUCGGGGGACAAAGUGACAGGUGGUGCAUGGUUGUCGUCAGCUCGUGUCGUGAGAUGUUGGGUUAAGUCCCGCAACGAGCGCAACCCUUAAGCUUAGUUGCCAUCAUUAAGUUGGGCACUCUAAGUUGACUGCCGGUGACAAACCGGAGGAAGGUGGGGAUGACGUCAAAUCAUCAUGCCCCUUAUGAUUUGGGCUACACACGUGCUACAAUGGACAAUACAAAGGGCAGCGAAACCGCGAGGUCAAGCAAAUCCCAUAAAGUUGUUCUCAGUUCGGAUUGUAGUCUGCAACUCGACUACAUGAAGCUGGAAUCGCUAGUAAUCGUAGAUCAGCAUGCUACGGUGAAUACGUUCCCGGGUCU
rnacentral:rRNA from 1 species